rnacentral:rRNA from 1 species
UACGGAGGGUGCAAGCGUUAAUCGGAAUUACUGGGCGUAAAGGGCGCGUAGGCGGCCACCGCAAGUCGACUGUGAAAUCUCCGGGCUUAACCCGGAAAGGUCAGCCGAUACUGCGGGGCUAGAGUGCAGAAGGGGCAACUGGAAUUCUCGGUGUAGAGGUGAAAUUCGUAGAUAUCGGGAGGAACACCAGUGGCGAAGGCGGCGAUCUGGGUGGAUACUGACGCUGAGGUGCGAAAGCGUGGGGAGCAAACAGG